rnacentral:rRNA from 1 species
GUGGGGAAUUUUGGACAAUGGGGGCAACCCUGAUCCAGCCAUGCCGCGUGUGUGAAGAAGGUCUUCGGAUUGUAAAGCACUUUAAGUUGGGAGGAAGGGCAUUAACCUAAUACGUUAGUGUUUUGACGUUACCAACAGAAUAAGCACCGGCUAACUACGUGCCAGCAGCCGCGGUAAUACGUAGGGUGCAAGCGUUAAUCGGAAUUACUGGGCGUAAAGCGUGCGCAGGCGGUUUUGUAAGACAGGCGUGAAAUCCCCGGGCUCAACCUGGGAACUGCCUCCAAAACUGCAUGACUAGAGUACGGUAGAGGGUAGUGGAAUUUCCUGUGUAGCGGUGAAAUGCGUAGAUAUAGGAAGGAACACCAGUGGCGAAGGCGACUACCUGGACUGAUACUGACACUGAGGUGCGAAAGCGUGGGGAGCAAACAGGAUUAGAAACCCGAGUAGUCC